rnacentral:misc_RNA from 1 species
UAGCAGGAAGUCUACCAAGGUAU